AAAAAUAUGGAGAGUCGACAAAAAAAUGUAUUCAGAAAUUAUGGACAACCCGUAAAUGAAAAUUGUUGGCCAACUGAUCAAUAGAAAUAGAAGCCAAUCCAAAACCUCAACAACCCUCCAUAAUAAAAGGACCCAAUUGUGAUAUCUGAUGCUCCGAAAACAUAAACACUGAAUUUAUUAGAACCACUAUCAGAAACUGAAUUUGUUUAAGCAAAAAGAAAACUAAACCCAGGCAAAUUACCAGGCUUCUCACAAAAGAAAUCAAAGUUACUCAAUUUUAUUACGGCACAAUAUAUACACAAGACAAACAGAUAUAUUUCACAGCACAGGACAAACACUCGACUAUACCACUGACAGUCACAUAUAACAUGUAAAGUUAAUGUUAAAGAGCAAAUAUAGCGUCUAGCCAUUAGAAAUGAUAAAUAUAUUCAUCCAAACAGCUCGAAUAAACACAUGAGCUAGCCGCCAAGCCAACGGCCGCCAAAAAAUAAACAAACAACUGUGUUGAACAAAGAAUUAAGCAGAUUAAUUUUAACUAUCAUAUAAACAAUACACAAUUUAAGCUUGUUAAUCUAGCAUGCAAGAAAUAAUAUCAAGCAAAAACUAAAUAAUUAAAGCAAGCAAGGAAGAAACAAUAUCAACCCUGAACAUAAACUUUUCUCCAUACAAGAAACAAUAUCUCAUAUGAAAAGAAACAGCACCCAACAGUGUGAACAAUA
rnacentral:lncRNA from 1 species